rnacentral:rRNA from 1 species
CGGCAACAGCUCAAAUUUGAAAUCUGGCCUCUUUCGGGGUCCGAGUUGUAAUUUGUAGAGGAUACUUUUGAUGCGGUGCCUUCCGAGUUCCCUGGAACGGGACGCCAUAGAGGGUGAGAGCCCCGUCUGGUUGGAUGCCAAAUCUCUGUAAAGUUCCUUCGAC